rnacentral:rRNA from 1 species
UACGUAGGGGGCAAGCGUUGUCCGGAUUUAUUGGGCGUAAAGAGCGUGUAGGCGGCCAAGCAGGUCAGCUGUGAAAACCCGAGGCUCAACCUCGGGCCUGCAGUCGAUACGGGCAGGCUAGAGUUCGGUAGGGGAGACUGGAAUUCCUGGUGUAGCGGUGAAAUGCGCAGAUAUCAGGAGGAACACCGGUGGCGAAGGCGGGUCUCUGGGCCGAAACUGACGCUGAGGAGCGAAAGCGUGGGGAGCAAACAGG